rnacentral:rRNA from 1 species
GAUGAACGCUAGCUACAGGCUUAACACAUCCAAGUCGAGGGGCAGCAUGAAUAUCGGCUUGCCGAUAUUUGAUGGCGACCGGCGCACGGGUGCGUAACGCGUAUCCAACUUUCCCGUUACUCUCGGAUAGCCUUCCGAUAGGGAGAUUAAUACGAGAUGGUGUCUUUAUUUCGCUUGUUAUGAAGACUAAAGAUUUAUUGGAAACGGAUACGGAUGAGUGACAUUAGAUAGUUGGCGGGGUAACGGCCCACCAAGUCUACGAUGUCUAGGGGUUCUGAGAGGAAGGUCCCCCACACUGGAACUGAGACACGGUCCAGACUCCUACGGGAGGCAGCAGUGAGGAAUAUUGGUCAAUGGCCGAGAGGCUGAACCAGCCAAGUAGCGUGAAGGAUGAAGGUUCUAUGGAUUGUAAACUUCUUUUAUACGGGAAUAACAUCACCUACGUGUAGGUGCCUGCAUGUACCGUAUGAAUAAGCAUCGGCUAACUCCGUGCCAGCCGCCGCAGUAAGAC